rnacentral:rRNA from 1 species
GGUUCUGAGGUCGACUAGCCUGCGAGUCGAUGUAGCAAUACAUGGCGUACUGCUCAGUAACACGUGGACAACCUACCCUUGGGACGGGGAUAAACCCGGGAAACUGGGUAUAAUACCCGAUAGUCCUCGACUGCUGGAAUGCAUCGAGGUCGAAAGCUCCGGUGCCCAAGGAUGGGUCUGCGGCCUAUCAGGUAGUAGUGGGUGUAGCGUACCUACUAGCCUACGACGGGUACGGGUUGUGAGAGCAAGAGCCCGGAGAUGGAUUCUGAGACACGAAUCCAGGCCCUACGGGGUGCAGCAGGCGCGAAAACUUUACAAUGCUGGAAACAGCGAUAAGGGAACCUCGAGUGCCAGGUUACAAAUCUGGCUGUCGUGAUGCCUAAAAAGCAUUGCAUAGCAAGGGCCGGGCAAGACCGGUGCCAGCCGCCGCGGUAACACCGGCGGCUCGAGUGGUAACCGUUAUUAUUGGGUCUAAAGGGUCUGUAGCCGGCCGGAUAAGUCUCUUGGGAAAUCUGGCAGCUUAACUGUCAGGCUUUCAGGAGAUACUGUCUGGCUCGAGGCCGGGAGAGGUGAGAGGUACUUCAGGGGUAGGGGUGAAAUCUUGUAAUCCUUGAAGGACCACCAGUGGCGAAGGCGUCUCACCAGAACGGACCUGACGGCAAGGGACGAAAGCUAGGGGCACGAACCGGAUUAGAUACCCGGGUAGUCCUAGCCGUAAACGAUACUCGCUAGGUGUCGGCCACGGUGCGACCGUGGUCGGUGCCGUAGGGAAGCCGUGAAGCGAGCCACCUGGGAAGUACGGCCGCAAGGCUGAAACUUAAAGGAAUUGGCGGGGGAGCACCACAACGGGUGGAGCUUGCGGUUUAAUUGGAGUCAACGCCGGG